GGCGGACACUGUGCAAUACCGGCUAGAACGCAUGGUCGACGAGCUCGACGACUUAGAGAAGCGAGGACUGUUCACGCGUCGCGAGAUAGCUGAGAUCGUGAAGCAGAGGCGAAAGUUCGAAUAUAGAUUGAAGAGACCGAGUCCACUUAAGCAGGACUACUUGGCCUACAUAGAGUACGAGAUUCAGCUCGACUCUCUUCGCCGCCUUCGAAAGAAAUCUGUGUCGCGUGAGCUUAAAAAGAAGGGAAAUAAGAAAAUAAAGAUGUCGGUGUCUGAUUUUGCUGGCGUUUCGAGAAUCGUCGACAUUUAUAGGCUUUCUGUAAUGAGAUAUAAGGGAGAUAUUGAGCUGUGGUUUCGAUAUUUGGAGUUUUGUAGGGAGCGAAGGAAUGGCAGAAUGAAAAAGGUCCUGGCUCAAUUAAUUAGGUUUCAUCCAAAGGUCCCAGGAGUUUGGAUUUAUGCUGCAGCGUG
rnacentral:misc_RNA from 1 species